AACAUAUAUGCAAUCAUCUGGGAUUUUAUAACUGAAGAAGAUGAUUCACAUAAUUUUGUCGAAAAUGUUCAAUUGAAGGAUUGCAUAGCAUGUUGAGGAUUGAAGGGUUGCAUAGCCUGUGAUAAGAAAUUUCUUCUUUUUU